rnacentral:rRNA from 1 species
AUACCGUAGGAAGACUAGUCGUUAUUCAUCUUUAAUAGGUUNAAAGGGUACCUAGCCGGUAAAUCAAGUCCGAAAAGGAUACUAGUUUGCUAGAGUUNAAUAUGAGGGGGCACUAAAGUACUGANAAGUGUAGAGAUGAAAUUUCUGUGAUACAAUAUACGGCACUGGCAAAGGCGAAAGCAUCUCAUUAUGUAAUAACUGACGUUGAGGGACGAAGGCUAGGUGUAGCAAAAAGGAUUAGAUACCCAAGUAGUCUUAGCAGAAAAUUAUGAAUGUCAUAGGAUGGAAAGAGUAAAAAACAAUUUUUUUUCKAUAAAUGAAAGUGUAAGCAUUUCACCUCGAGAGUAAUUUGGCAACAUUGGAACUGAAAUCAUUAGACCGUUUCUGAAACAAGUAGUGAAGUAUGUUGUUUAAUUUGAUGGUCCGCAAAAAACCUUACCACAAUUUGAAUAAAAAUUUUUAUUUUUUUUACAAGCGCUGCACGGUUGUYKUCAGUUAAUGUCGUGAGAUC